CACGGGGGAGCAAGCGUUGUUCGGAAUCACUGGGCGUAAAGGGCGUGUAGGCGGUCAGGUAAGUGGGAUGUGAAAUGCCCCGGCUCACCCGGGGACCGGCAUCCCAAACUGCCUGGCUUGAGUAUGGGAGAGGAUGAGGGAAUUCCUGGUGUAGCGGUGAAAUGCGUAGAUAUCAGGAGGAACACCGGUGGCGAAGGCGCUCAUCUGGCCCAAUACUGACGCUGAGGCGCG
rnacentral:rRNA from 1 species